rnacentral:rRNA from 1 species
ACGAACGCUGGCGGCGUGCUUAACACAUGCAAGUCGAACGGAGAUUAUUAAUGAAGCUUGCGAUUUAAUAAUCUUAGUGGCGGACGGGUGAGUAACGCGUGGGCAACCUACCCAUAAGCGGGGGAUAACAGUUGGAAACGACUGCUAAUACCGCAUAAGCUAUUGAGGUCGCAUGACCUUAAUAGUAAAGGUGGCAUUUUAAAGAUGCUAUCACUUAUGGAUGGGCCCGCGUCUGAUUAGCUAGUUGGUGGGGUAGCGGCCUACCAAGGCAACGAUCAGUAGCCGGCCUGAGAGGGUGGACGGCCACACUGGGACUGAGACACGGCCCAGACUCCUACGGGAGGCAGCAGUGGGGAAUAUUGCGCAAUGGGGGAAACCCUGACGCAGCGACGCCGCGUGAGCGAAGAAGGCCUUAGGGUCGUAAAGCUCUGUUGUAAGGGACGAAUGUUUAUCUGACGAAUAGUCAGAUAAAGUGACGGUACCUUACCAGCAAGCCCCGGCUAACUACGUG